CCAGCUUCUGCUCCUGGGCAGCAGAGGUGCGUCCGUGGCGCCGCGCACCUUUCGAUCCCCUGCGGGGCCGCGUGUCACCGCGCGCUCUGCGCGCGCCUGCGUCUGUGCCUGUCCGUCCGUGUGUGCAUGUGUGUGUUAAACCGCCGGACUUUCUGGUGGGGCAACAAUCCGCCUCCAGCUCCCAGCGCUCGCGCGCGUC